rnacentral:rRNA from 1 species
CCUACGGGAGGCAGCAGUGAGGAAUAUUGGUCAAUGGGAGAGAGCCUGAACCAGCCAAGCCGCGGGAGGGAAGACGGCCCUAUGGGGUGUAAACCUCUUUUGUCGGAGAACAAAACCCGGGACGUGUCCCGGACUGCGUGUAUCCGAAGAAAAAGCAUCGGCUAACUCCGUGCCAGCAGCCGCGGUAAUACGGAGGAUGCGAGCGUUAUCCGGAUUUAUUGGGUUUAAAGGGUGCGUGGGCGGUCCGUUAAGUCAGCGGUAAAAUUGCGGGGCUCAACCCCGUCGAGCCGUUGAAACUGGCAGACUUGAGUUGGCGAGAAGUACGCGGAAUGCGCGGUGUAGCGGUGAAAUGCAUAGAUAUCGCGCAGAACUCCGAUUGCGAAGGCAGCGUACCGGCGCCAGACUGACGCUGAGGCACGAAAGCGUGGGGAUCGAACAGGAUUAGAUACCCGAGUAGUC